rnacentral:rRNA from 1 species
GAUGCACGCUGGCGGCGUGCCUAAUACAUGCAAGUCGAGCGACGCGGGGACGGGGGAGUAACACGUGGAUAACACACUAUAAGACUGGGAUUACUUGGGGAAAACGGAGCUAAACCGGAUCCUUAUAGAUGGAUCCGCUGUGCAUUAGCUAGUUGGUAAGGUAACGGCUUACAAAGGCAACGAUGCGUAGCCGGCCUGAAAGGGUGAUCGGCCAAACUGGAACUGAGACACGGUCCAGACUCCUACGGGAGGCAGCAGUAGGGAAUCUUCCGCAAUGGGCGAAAGCCUGACGGAGCAACGCCGCGUGAGUGAUGAAGGUCUUCGGAUCGUAAAACUCUGUUAUUAGGGAAGCGGUACCUAAUCAGAAAGCCACGGCUAACUACGUGCCAGCAGCCGCGGUAAUAC